CUUGCUCACAUAAAACUCAAUGUGGGUUUUCCUGUUUCAAGGUAGCUUUCCCUCAAACAGUUGUUUAGGGACUCAUGCUCUUAUCUUGUGGCUGUGUAAUCUCCUACAUGUGAAUUUCAAGGUGACUGUGUUUAUCUGCACCUAGUGAGAGAAUGGAAAGAACAUGGAGGAUGGCAAAUGGGAAGUUUGUAUGGACCAGUCCUGGAAGUGACAUCACUUCCAUUCAUAGUCUAUUGGUUGGAACUCAGUAAUAUAAAUACAUUUAAUUGCAAGGGAGACCGGAAAGUAUGACCUGGUUGUGUGCCCAGGGGAACAGGAAAUGGUCAGGUGCUCAAUCUGCAGCUUCUGUCAUUGUGCUAAACUUUCACUUGGGACUAAAAGAUCUGUCUUGGAAUAGACUUCUUCUCUGAGGUCAUCUGUUUCCUGUGUUCUGAAACUAAGGUCAGGCAAUAUGGCAGAGGCCGUAGUUAUAAGUUUUCAGGACUCAAAAGAAGCUGGGUGGGCACAGAUUUACAUUCAAUUAGCAGAAGGCCGAGAAUAUAGAUAAGACAUCCAUCUGAUCAUGGUCCUUCUCAGUGUGAGACUCAGACACAGGGGCCAGGGCUCUGAGUCUAACGGUGACAGAAGUGUGGCCAAAGCCCCAAGCUGAGAAUUCAGCCUACCAUUUAGAUCACUUUUAAAUCUACUGAUGACUUUUAUAUAACAAAAAAUGAGCAUUCUGCCAUCUCCCAGAAUCCUCAGCAAGGGUUUUUGACAGAGGGGCCGCUCUUUGACCAGCCAAGAGUGAAGAUUCCCUAGGCCAGGUGUGAUUGUUCCUUAUAUGUAAGCUACUAGGAAGCAUUUCUCCCAGAAAGCAACUCAGAGAAAAUCCUCGCCCAACCACUAGGAGGAGCAUGAGUCAAAGAAGAGGUCCAUCAGCAUGGUUUAGUCUGAUCCAAGAAGAAGCAUACCCGAAAAAAUAAGACAAGUAAAGAGAGUCAGAGGAAG
rnacentral:lncRNA from 1 species